GGUGGUUCUUGGGUGACACCCCCCGGAAUUGGGCUCCCUCUACUCUGGUUCCAGGUGUGUCACCCGAAAACCAUA
rfam:Myotis davidii contig132531, whole genome shotgun sequence.